rnacentral:rRNA from 1 species
GACGAACGCUGGCGGCGUGCUUAACACAUGCAAGUCGAACGGAAAGGCUCCAGCUUGCUGGAGUACUCGAGUAGCGAACGGGUGAGUAACACGUGGGUAAUCUGCCCUGCACUCUGGGAUAAGCCUGGGAACUGGGUCUAAUACUGGAUAUGACCUUUCUCCUUAUGGGGUUUGGUGGAAAGUUUUUCGGUGUAGGAUGAGCCCGCGGCCUAUCAGCUUGUUGGUGGGGUGAUGGCCUACCAAGGCGACGACGGGUAGCCGGCCUGAGAGGGUGAUCGGCCACAUUGGGACUGAGAUACGGCCCAGACUCCUACGGGAGGCAGCAGUGGGGAAUAUUGCACAAUGGGCGGAAGCCUGAUGCAGCGACGCCGCGUGAGGGAUGACGGCCUUCGGGUUGUAAACCUCUUUCAGCAGGGACGAAGCGUAAGUGACGGUACCUGCAGAAGAAGCACCGGCUAACUAUGUG